rnacentral:rRNA from 1 species
UGAGGAAUAUUGGACAAUGGGUUAGCGCCUGAUCCAGCCAUCCCGCGUGAAGGACGACGGCCCUAUGGGUUGUAAACUUCUUUUGUAUAGGGAUAAACCUACUCUCGUGAGAGUAGCUGAAGGUACUAUACGAAUAAGCACCGGCUAACUCCGUGCCAGCAGCCGCGGUAAUACGGAGGGUGCAAGCGUUAUCCGGAUUUAUUGGGUUUAAAGGGUCCGUAGGCGGAUCUGUAAGUCAGUGGUGAAAUCUCAUAGCUUAACUAUGAAACUGCCAUUGAUACUGCAGGUCUUGAGUAAAUUUGAAGUGGCUGGAAUAAGUAGUGUAGCGGUGAAAUGCAUAGAUAUUACUUAGAACACCAAUUGCGAAGGCAGGC